CAGCAGCCACGGUAAUACGAAGGGGGCUAGCGUUGUUCGGAAUUACUGGGCGUAAAGCGCACGUAGGCGGAUAUUUAAGUCAGGGGUGAAAUCCCGCAGCUCAACUGCGGAACUGCCUUUGAUACUGGGUAUCUUGAGUAUGGAAGAGGUUAGUGGAAUUGCGAGUGUAGAGGUGAAAUUCGUAGAUAUUCGCAGGAACACCAUUGGCGAAGGCGGCUAACUGGUCCAUAACUGACGCUGAGGUGCGAAAGCGUGGGGAGCAAACAGGAUUAGAUACCCGUGUAGUCCCUGUCUCUUAUAU
rnacentral:rRNA from 1 species